UACGGAGGGUGCAAGCGUUAUCCGGAUUCACUGGGUUUAAAGGGUGCGUAGGUGGGUUGGUAAGUCAGUGGUGAAAUCUCCGUGCUUAACAUGGAAACUGCCAUUGAUACUACUGAUCUUGAAUUUUCAGGAGGUAAGCGGAAUAUGUCAUGUAGCGGUGAAAUGCGCAGAUAUCAGGAAGAACACCCGUGGCGAAGGCGGCUUUCUGGGACGGUACUGACGCUGAGACGCGAAAGCGUGGGGAGCGAACAGG
rnacentral:rRNA from 1 species